UACGUAGGGGGCAAGCGUUGUCCGGAAUGAUUGGGCGUAAAGGGCGCGUAGGCGGCUCGGUAAGUCUGGAGUGAAAUUCCUGCUUUCAAGGUGGGAACUGCUUUGGAUACUGUCGGGCUUGAGUGCAGGAGAGGUAAGUGGAAUUCCCGGUGUAGCGGUGAAAUGCGUAGAGAUCGGGAGGAACACCAGUGGCGAAGGCGACUUACUGGACUGUAACUGACGCUGAGGCGCGAAAGUGUGGGGAGCAAACAGG
rnacentral:rRNA from 1 species